CGGAUUUGGGCUAGCACUGUUUUGAAACUCUUUUCAAUCCAUUUGACUUUCAAAAUGGACUUAGGAAGCUAAGGCUCUGUUUUUAAACUAUUGAAUUAAAAACAAACAGGCGAAAAAGAAAACAAACAAAAAACAGUGAAACACGGAGCCUUCCUCUUUCUGGUAUCUAAGAAAACACAGAGGACUGUUCAGAUCUGUCUGAAAAGACCAGCCGUGAGAGUGCUGCUCCAUGUCCUCUUGGGCUCCUAGGGGAACUCGGUGUCAUUUUCUGGCAUUAUUAUGCAUGUUGAAAACAAGCUGGAAGAGGCUGUAGCUUCAAGUUGCUGAAUCUUUGAAAAAUGCAGGCAAGAACUUCAGUCUUUGAAGUCAUUUUCCCUUUGGGAGCCUAGAUGCCCCAAAUUGCAAAAGUAAUGAAAAAGACCCAGUGAUAAUAAUGCGAUUGGAAAGGAAGACACUGAUUUCUCACAUGACUGUGGCAAACUGUGAAGAGUGAAAAUUCCAGAAGACUUAAAUUGUCUAUAGUUUUGGCAUCUCUCCCUCUAUGUACUUGCUAUCUUUUUUUUGCUUUUAAGUCUGCUUAGUUACAACUGCAGACCACAGUAAAAUUAUAGAUUUGGAGAUGUUGGAAUGUUUCCUCAAAGAUAAAAGCCAAUUAAAAAAAUUUUAACAAAGAACAGAAGAAGCAAUCAAGAGUUUGUAACAAAUUAUUAGGAUUAAUA
rnacentral:lncRNA from 1 species